rnacentral:rRNA from 1 species
GAUGAACGCUGGCGGCGUGCCUAAUACAUGCAAGUCGAACGGACAGACGGGGAGCUUUCUCCUCUUACGGUAGCGGGGGGCGGGGGAGUGACAUAUAGAGGACCGUGUUGUGAAGCGGGGGUUAAUUCGGGGAAAGGGUGGUUAUAACCGCUAAUAUAUUGAACCGGAUAGUUGAGGAGUUAGAAACAGGUUUGCUGCUUCUUAUAGAGGGGUCCGCGCCGCAUUAGCUAGUUGGUAAGGUAACGGCUCACCAAGGCAACGAUUCGUAGCCGAUCUGAGAGGGUGAUCGGCCACACUGGAACUGAGACACGGUCCAGACUCCUACGGGAGGCAGCAGUAGGGAAUCUUGCGCAAUGGGCGCAAGCCUGAUCGAGCCACGCCGCGUGAGUGAUGAAGGUCUUCGGAUCGUAAAACUCUGUUAUUAGGGAAGAAAAAAUGUGUAAGUAAAUAUGCACGUAUUGACGGUACCUAAACAGAAAGCACCGGCUAACUACGUG